AAAAACCAGUUUUUUGACAAGUGCAAAAAUUGGUUGAAAUUAUCUCGCGCCGAUUUUGCGUACCCGAGUCAGUGGAGAGCUUUUGUUCGGAAAAAUGUGAUGAUAAGACACUAAAAAUGCAGACAAUGUUAAAGAAGAAGACACUAAUACAUUCGUCUUGAAAAGAAAAGUGGAAAAGUUUUAAACAAAAUACUCUAUCUAGUAAACGAACUUUAAAUUAAAGUGAAA